rnacentral:rRNA from 1 species
AUGCUCCUCUCCGACGCGCUUGCCGAUGACACCCCCUUCCACCUGUUCCGCUAUGUCUCCCUUCCCAAGCCGAGGCAGCCGCCAAAUUGGCUCCCUCUUGCCGUCGACAUUGCAACCGCCUUUCGGGACAUUGUCCUUGUCAAAGAGACUGGCAUCAUCAAGUUCGUCGACCUUCAGGUCCAUGCAGAACCCGACCGUUGCUCAAAAACCCCUAGUGGUUGGACGGUGGUCACAUGGACCAUGGAGGGGCUCCAUAGGGAUUCGGAAACCUUGGGUGAUAUUCGUUUCAAGCCGGAGCAUGAAGUCCAUUCUUGUGAUAUUGAAAACUAUGAUUUGCCCAAAUCUGUCUUUGUUUCCAACCCCAUUCUCAGCUCCCACAAAGAUGGCAUCUUGUACCUCAGGACCACGGUCAGUAGCACAACUGACAGGAAAUCGCGAGUUAUCGUUGUUGACAUCAAGAAUAAGAAGCUGCUGAAGGUGGGUGAAUUCGAUAUGCGAAGACCCAACACCUACGGGCGCACUACCAUCUCCAGCUAUCUCAAGCCCCCACUUUCAAAGGAGAAUAUGAAAUGA